CUUCCCAAUUGCCAAGCACAACAUUUUUAGCCACUAAGCUUCACAUCCAUAUUACCAUGACCACUAUCUGUUUCAGCGUCUUCAACUUAAGUCCACAUGUUCCCAAAAGGAUUCUCACACCCCAUGUCUCCGGGCAUCAUUCUCACCAAGUGUGUCUUCCAAUGUAAAGGAUGGAGCGUGAUAUUCUAGGUGCCACUGUUUUUAAUCAAAUUUCCCUGGAU
rnacentral:lncRNA from 1 species